UACGAAGGGGGCUAGCGUUGUUCGGAAUCACUGGGCGUAAAGGGCGCGUAGGCGGCCUGAUAAGUCGGGGGUGAAAGCCUGUGGCUCAGCCACAGAAUUGCCUUCGAUACUGUCGGGCUUGAGACCGGAAGAGGUAAGUGGAACUGCGAGUGUAGAGGUGAAGUUCGUAGAUAUUCGCAAGAACACCAGUGGCGAAGGCGGCUUACUGGUCCGGUUCUGACGCUGAGGCGCGAAAGCGUGGGGAGCAAACAGG
rnacentral:rRNA from 1 species